GAUGAACGCUGACAGAAUGCUUAACACAUGCAAGUCUUUGGCGAAGCUGUGCUUGCACAGCCUAGCCAAGGCGGACGGGUGAGUAACGCGUAAGGAACUUGCCCUGCAGUCAGGGAUAACAGACGGAAACGACUGAUAAGACCUGGUAAAGUCAGGCGGACUCAUGUCCAGCCUGAUGAAAAGAGAUGCUGCAGGAGAGCCUUGCGUCCUAUUAGCUUGUUGGUGGGGUAACGGCCCACCAAGGUGAUGAUAGGUAGCCGGCCUGAGAGGGUGGACGGCCACAAGGGGACUGAGAUACGGCCCUUACUCCUACGGGAGGCAGCAGUGGGGAAUAUUGGACAAUGGGGGCAACCCUGAUCCAGCAAUUCUGUGUGCACGAUGAAGGUUUUCGGAUUGUAAAGUGCUUUCAGCAGGGAAGAAAAAAAUGACGGUACCUGCAGAAGAAGCGACGGCUAAAUACGUG
rnacentral:rRNA from 1 species